UUUUUUCUUGCACAGUGUUCCCGCCACAACCGGAUCGGGUCGCCAUCGUGACGGGCGGCACGGACGGGAUCGGCUAUGCCACCGCCAAGCGCCUGGCCAGACUCGGCAUGACCGUGAUCCUAGCUGGAAAUAACAAACUGAAGGCCCAGGAAGCCCUGAGGACGGUCAGGGAGGAGACCUUGAACGACAAAGUGGACUUUAUGUACUGCGACCUGGCGUCUCUGCGGUCCGUGCAGCUCUUCGUCGACGCGUUCAAGAAGAAGAACCUUCCGCUGCACGUGCUGGUCAACAACGCCGGCGUGAUGAUGGUCCCGCAG